rnacentral:tRNA from 1 species
GCCCGUCUAGCUCAGUCGGUAGAGCACAAGCUCUUAACCUUGUGGUCGUGGGUUCGAGCCCCAGGGUGGGCC